CGAGUGGCGGACGGGUGAGUAAUGCUUGGGAACUUGCCUUUGCGAGGGGGAUAACAGUUGGAAACGACUGCUAAUACCGCAUAAUGUCUACGGACCAAACGGGGCUUUUAGCUCCGGCGCAAAGAGAGGCCCAAGUGAGAUUAGCUAGUUGGUAGAGUAACGGCUUACCAAGGCAACGAUCUCUAGCUGUUCUGAGAGGAAGAUCAGCCACACUGGGACUGAGACACGGCCCAGACUCCUACGGGAGGCAGCAGUGGGGAAUAUUGCACAAUGGGGGAAACCCUGAUGCAGCCAUGCCGCGUGUGUGAAGAAGGCCUUCGGGUUGCAAAGCACUUUCAGUUGUGAGGAAAGGUUGGUAGUUAAUACCUGCCAGCUGUGACGUUAGCAACAGAAGAAGCACCGGCUAACUCCGUGCCAGCAGCCGCGGUAAUACGGAGGGUGCGAGCGUUAAUCGGAAUUACUGGGCGUAAAGCGCACGCAGGCGGUUUGUUAAGCUAGAUGUGAAAGCCCCGGGCUCAACCUGGGAUGGUCAUUUAGAACUGGCAGACUAGAGUCUUGGAGAGGGGAGUGGAAUUCCAGGUGUAGCGGUGAAAUGCGUAGAUAUCUGGAGGAACAUCAGUGGCGAAGGCGACUCCCUGGCCAAAGACUGACGCUCAUGUGCGAAAGUGUGGGUAGCGAACAGGAUUAGAUACCCUGGUAG
rnacentral:rRNA from 1 species